UUCCAGCCAACCAGCAGCAGACCCUCCCUCUCAGACCCUCCCACCUCCUGGACAGCAUCCAUUUUACAUUCAUUGUGAAGCUGCAUUCUUAGUGAGCUGUCCAGGAGGUGGGAGGGUCUGGGAGGGAGGGUCUGCUGCUGAUUGGCUGG